GACGAACGCUGGCGGCGUGCCUAACACAUGCAAGUCGAACGGAGAUCAAGAUUUCGGUUUUGAUUUUAGUGGCGAACGGGUGAGUAACGCGUGAAUAACCUGCCUUUAAGUGGGGGAUAACACCUGGAAACAGAUGCUAAUACCGCAUAAGACCACACUGUGACAUCACAGAGAGGUCAAAGAUUUAUCGCUUAAAGAGGGGUUCGCGUCCCAUUAGGUAGUUGGUGAGGUAACGGCCCACCAAGCCGACGAUGGGUAGCCGAGCUGAGAGGCUGAUCGGCCACACUGGAACUGAGACACGGUCCAGACUCCUACGGGAGGCAGCAGUGGGGAAUAUUGGGCAAUGGGCGCAAGCCUGACCCAGCAACGCCGCGUGAGGGAAGAAGGUUUUCGGAUUGUAAACCUCUGUCGCAAGGGACGAAACAAAUGACGGUACCUUGUGAGGAAGCCCCGGCUAACUACGUGCCAGCAGCCGCGGUAAAACGUGCGUG
rnacentral:rRNA from 1 species